GUGCCAGCAGCCGCGGUAAUUCCAGCUCCAAUAGCGUAUAUUAAAGUUGUUGCAGUUAAAAAGCUCGUAGUUGAAACUUGGGCCUGGCUGGCGGGUCCGCCUCACCGCGUGCACUCGUCCGGCCGGGCCUUCCUUCUGAAGAACCUCAUGCCCUUCACUGGGCGUGCUGGGGAAUCAGGACUUUUACUUUGAAAAAAUUAGAGUGUUCAAAGCAGGCCUUUGCUCGAAUACGUUAGCAUGGAAUAAUAAAAUAGGGCGUGCGUUUCUAUUUUGUUGGUUUCUAGAGACGCCGCAAUGAUUAACAGGAACAGUCGGGGGCAUCAGUAUUCAGUUGUCAGAGGUGAAAUUCUUGGAUUUACUGAAGACUAACUACUGCGAAAGCAUUUGCCAAGGAUGUUUUCAUUAAUCAGUGAACGAAAGUUAGGGGAUCGAAGACGAUCAGAUACCGUCGUAGUCUUAACCGUAAACUAUGCCGACUAGGGAUCGGGCGAUGUUCUUUUUCUGACUCGCUCGGCACCUUACGAGAAAUCAAAGUUUUUGGGUUCUGGGGGGAUUAUGGUCGCAAGGCUGAAACUUAAAGAAAUUGACGGAAGGUCACCACCAGGCGUGGAGCCUGCGGCUUAAUUUGACUCAACACGGGGAAACUCACCAGGUCCAGAUGAAAUAAGGAUUGACAGAUGAGAGCUCUUUCUUGAUUUUUCAGGUGUGUGCAUGACGUCUAGUCGUGCGUGACUGUCUGCUAUGCGAUACGAGCGAGACUACUCUGCUAAUAGCAGCUACUUUGUGUCGCGCUCCUAGAGAGACUAUCACUCAGUGAUGAGUGAGCAUACAGCUUGGAUGGCUAGAUGUCUGAUCGCACGCGGCUAACUUGACAGAGCAACGAGAGUCGAUC
rnacentral:rRNA from 1 species